rnacentral:rRNA from 1 species
UCUUGGGGAACUUGUUUGCACUUUACUGUGUGACUUGAGAUCCAGGACUUUUACUUUGAGGAAAUGAGAGUGUUUCAAGCAGGCGGAAGCCCUGAAUACGUUAGCAUGGAAUAAUAGCAUCGGACCUCCUUCCAAAGCUGUUGGUUCAUUGGAAAGAGGUAAUGGUAAACAGGGAUAGUUGGGGGAUUCGUAUUUAACUGUCAGAGGUGAAAUUCUUGGAUUUGUUAAAGACGAACUACUGCGAAAGCAUCUGCCAAGGAUGUUUUCAUUGAUCAAGAACGAAAGUUAGGGGAUCGAAGACGAUCAGAUACCGUCCCUAGUCUUAACC